AUUAUUUAGAACCUUGAAGAUCACGAAAUAUUCUCCCUUCCUUUAGGAAUCUUUAAGCUACAACAACUAUAACCAUAAACACUAUAUAUAUACUACUACUUGUGUUCAUUUCUCUAAUCACAACAACACCUCACACGUUCACAUAAAAACAUUCUAAUGGCUCCUCUCCCUGUCUCUUUGCUCAAAGAUGUAAAACCAUAAGAAACUACUUGGAAAGUUCAUGUGAAAUCUAUUCAUUUAUGGAAACAAUCCUCUAAUCAGGCUGCUGAUUCACUUCAGAUGAUUCUUGCAGACGAGACAAGUAGUUGUUGUCUUAUAUAUACUAUGUUUUUGUAUACUUGGCUAACUUUAACAAAGCUUCAUUAUAUUAAUUUACAGGGAACCGAAAUUCAUGCAACUUGCAUGAGUAUUUUUGCACCUAGAGUACGAUCCCAACCUACACACGGUAUAUGGAGAUCGAUUCAGAUUUUCCCAGUGUCUUCUGCCUCCGGGAAAUAUCAAGUGCACAACAUUUUAUUUAUCAAGUAAGACUCAUAAAAAAAUAGAUACUUAUCUUUUGUCUACUGGCCAACCUGGUCCGCUGGACCACAACCAUAAUAUUAGUAAUCCUUCUUUUAUCUGUCCAAACAAAAAGAAAAUGAUUUAGUUUGCAUCAACUUUACUAUUUACUAUUGUAUAAUCCGCGUGAAUUUUUUAUAAUAAUAUUUGUUCAUUAAAUGGUUUUAACAUUUUACAACACUCACUAC
rnacentral:lncRNA from 1 species